UACGGGGGGGGGCAAGCGUUGUUCGGAAUUACUGGGCGUAAAGGGCUCGUAGGCGGCCAACUAAGUCAGACGUGAAAUCCCUCGGCUCAACUGAGGAAGUGCAUCCGAAACUGGCAGGCUUGAGUACUAAAGAGGGUCGCGGAAUUCCCGGUGUAGAGGUGAAAUUCGUAGAUAUCGGGAGGAACACCGGUGGCGAAGGCGGCGACCUGGGUAGAUACUGACGCUGAGGUGCGAAAGCGUGGGGAGCAAACAGGG
rnacentral:rRNA from 1 species